UUUUGUCGGAGAACAAAACCCGGGACGUGUCCCGGACUGCGUGUAUCCGAAGAAAAAGCAUCGGCUAACUCCGUGCCAGCAGCCGCGGUAAUACGGAGGAUGCGAGCGUUAUCCGGAUUUAUUGGGUUUAAAGGGUGCGUAGGCGGUCCGUUAAGUCAGCGGUAAAAUUGCGGGGCUCAACCCCGUCGAGCCGUUGAAACUGGCAGACUUGAGUUGGCGAGAAGUACGCGGAAUGCGCGGUGUAGCGGUGAAAUGCAUAGAUAUCGCGCAGAACUCCGAUUGCGAAGGCAGCGUACCGGCGCCAGACUGACGCUGAGGCACGAAAGCGUGGGGAUCGAACAGGAUUAGAUACCCUGGUAGUCCACGCAGUAAACGAUGAAUGCUGGUUGUCCGGGUCGAAUGAGAUCUGG
rnacentral:rRNA from 1 species